GUGCUCACUUCGGCAAAACAUAUACUAAAAUUUAAAUGACACAGAGAAGAUUAGCAUGGCCCCUGCACAAGGAUGACAUGCAGAUUUGUGAAGUGUUCCAUAUUUUA
rnacentral:snRNA from 1 species